rnacentral:rRNA from 1 species
AUGAACGCUGGCGGCGUGCCUAAUCCAUGCAAGUCGAGCGAACAGACGAGGAGCUUGCUCCUCUGACGUUAGCGGCGGACGGGUGAGUAACACGUGGAUAACCUACCUAUAAGACUGGGAUAACUUCGGGAAACCGGAGCUAAUACCGGAUAAUAUAUUGAACCGCAUGGUUCAAUAGUGAAAGACGGUUUUGCUGUCACUUAUAGAUGGAUCCGCGCCGCAUUAGCUAGUUGGUAAGGUAACGGCUUACCAAGGCAACGAUGCUUAGCAGACCUGAGAGGGGGAACGGCCAAACUGGAACUGAGACACGGUCAAGACUCCUAAGGGAGGCAGCAGUAGGGAAUCUUCCGCAAUGGGCGAAAGCAUGACGGAGCAACGCCGCGUGAGUGAUGAAGGUCUUCGGAUCGUAAAACUCUGUUAUUAGGGAAGAACAAAUGUGUAAGUAACUAUGCACGUCUUGAAGGUACCUAAUCAGAAAGCCAAGGCUAACUACGUG